rnacentral:rRNA from 1 species
CCAGCCUGCCGCGUGUGUGAAGAAGGUCUUCGGAUUGUAAAGCACUUUAAGUUGGGAGGAAGGGCAUUAAAUUAAUACUUUGCUGUUUUGACGUUACCGACAGAAUAAGCACCGGCUAACUCUGUGCCAGCAGCCGCGGUAAU